rnacentral:misc_RNA from 1 species
GUAGGUGAACCUGCGGAAGGAUCAUUAGUGAAUUCAACAUUAACCGAUGGCAGCAAUGCCUGACGUAGCGGACGAGCCCCUCGUGGUUCGUCCGUGAAUACACAUCCAUAACACCUGUGAAAUGUCUGUCAGGCCCAUCGGCUUCGGCCCCUGGACUUGCACUAUACAAACUUACUCUGUAAAAAAUGUCGAAAUACAAAAAUUAAAUAAAACUUUUAACAACGGAUCUCUUGGCUCUCGCAUCGAUGAA